GCCGGUGUGGCGGAAUUGGCAGACGCGCGGGACUCAAAAUCCCGUUCCUUCACGGGAGUGUCGGUUCGACCCCGACCACCGGUAUCA
rnacentral:tRNA from 1 species